UACGGAGGGUGCAAGCGUUGCUCGGAUUUAUUGGGCGUAAAGGGUAGGUAGGUGGUCUUAUUUGUCUAGGGUGAAAUCCUUGAGCUUAACUCAGGAAGUGCCCUAGAAACGGUAAGACUAGAGUCCUGGAGAGGGUCGUGGAAUUCCCGGUGUAGCGGUGAAAUGCGUAGAGAUCGGGAGGAACACCAGAGGCGAAGGCGGCGACCUGGACAGGUACUGACACUAAACUACGAAAGCGUGGGGAGCAAACAGG
rnacentral:rRNA from 1 species